CAGAGAACCUACCCUUAGGGUAGAUCCUCCCAACCUUUGUCUACUCUACCAUUGUUGCCUUGGCGGGCCCGUCGUAUGACCACCGGCUUCAGCUGGUCAGUGCCUGCCAGAGGACACUCCUAAUUCUUUGAUUUUUGGUGUUGUCUGAUCAUUAUAUAUAAUCGUUA
rnacentral:misc_RNA from 1 species